rnacentral:rRNA from 1 species
AUUGAACGCUGGCGGCGUGCCUUACACAUGCAAGUCGAACGGCAGCGGGGACUUCGGUCCGCCGGCGAGUGGCGAACGGGUGAGUAAUGUAUCGGAACGUACCAUUGAGUGGGGGAUAACUAUCCGAAAGGAUAGCUAAUACCGCAUAUUCUCUCCGGAGGAAAGCAGGGGACCGCAAGGCCUUGCGCUCAUUGAGCGGCCGAUAUCAGAUUAGCUAGUUGGUGAGGUAAAGGCUCACCAAGGCGACGAUCUGUAGCGGGUCUGAGAGGAUGAUCCGCCACACUGGAACUGAGACACGGUCCAGACUCCUACGGGAGGCAGCAGUGGGGAAUUUUGGACAAUGGGGGCAACCCUGAUCCGGCUAUGCCGCGUGAGUGAAGAAGGCCUUCGGGUUGUAAAGCUCUUUCGGCCGGGAAAAGAUCGCAUGGGUUAAUACCCUGUGUGGAUGAUGGUACCGGAAUAAGAAGCACCGGCUAACUACGUGCCAGCCGCCGCGGUAACAC